ACGAACGCUGGCGGCGUGCUUCACACCUGCAAGUCGAACGGAAAGGCCCUGCUUUUGUGGGGUGCUCGAGUGGCGAACGGGUGAGUAACACGUGAGUAACCUGCCCUUGACUUUGGGAUAACUUCAGGAAACUGGGGCUAAUACCGGAUAGGAGCUCCUGCUGCAUGGUGGGGGUUGGAAAGUUUCGGCGGUUGGGGAUGGACUCGCGGCUUAUCAGCUUGUUGGUGGGGUAGUGGCUUACCAAGGCUUUGACGGGUAGCCGGCCUGAGAGGGUGACCGGCCACAUUGGGACUGAGAUACGGCCCAGACUCCUACGGGAGGCAGCAGUGGGGAAUAUUGCACAAUGGGCGGAAGCCUGAUGCAUCAACGCCGCGUGCGGGAUGACGGCCUUCGGGUUGUAAACCGCUUUCGCCUGUGACGAAGCGUGAGUGACGGUAAUGGGUAAAGAAGCACCGGCUAACUACGUG
rnacentral:rRNA from 1 species